rnacentral:lncRNA from 1 species
GCAUAAUUACAAAUUAAAUUUCUUCAAUCUUCUGAUCAGAUACUAUGACACUCUAUUUAUACAUCUGCUCAUCCGCAAUCCAAACCAUAGCCAAUCAUAAGCAUCUUGUAUCUCUGAGAAGAAAAAAAAGAUAAAGAGGUGUGAGCUUUACAGCCCAAUAAGAAUUUUCAUAUCACACCGAUAUAAUAAUAUAAUCUGAAAAUAAGAAUAAACAAUAAAACAUAAAAUUUCAUGUUCAAUAUCCGGAAUAAUUCAAACAUCUAUAAUUUAUCUGUCUUGUCAAAAGAAAUGCAUCAUCAUAUAUUAACAAGUGAAACACUUUUGUUCAACAAUUGUUUCAUGUCUUAUCUUUCAUUUCUCUUUUCAUAAUCACAUGAUUUUUAACCUUUUCUUUCUGGCUCUGGACUAAUCAAGUCUAUAUCUCAGUCAUUACCUGAAUCAAUUUUCACUUAAAAGCCUUUCAAAGCUGUCUCAAGAUGAGCUCCUGGCCGGCUGUCCCACGUACGAAAGCCCAUGAGAGGCUGUCCCAGGCAUAAGCUCCUGGCGGGCUAUCCCAGGCAUAAGCUCCUGGCCGGCUGAUCUACCUAUAAGCCAGUGGGGGCUGUCCCAGGCA